CGCUAAUAAAAGUCGACAUAUCUAUGAAAAGUCACUUCAAAUUGACACUUCUUUUAAGAAGCUAAGGUGCCAGAAAGUUUGAACCAUAUUUUCUAUUGUUGAUUGAUCUAUGUUUAUCAAGCCAUGGCCUUGCUUGCUGAGAUGAUCCUUGCACUUAUGUAUGUCGGUCUCGUAUGUUACUCUCUACUCUCUCAUAUCUUUGUCAGGUUCUUCCCUACUUUGGACUUUGGAGGGGAGGUCAUGUCUAUGAUGUGAUCUUCAUUGGAGUCAUGUGGUAGCCACUAGCAUUACUGAAGUCAAGAGGAAUCAAAAGAGUAUCAAUCGCUCUAAGAAAUUUGUGUGGAAGCGAUGCCAAUGUUGCAGUGUAAGAUUGGUGAUUCAUCGUCUCUCAUGGCAUAUAUGGAUGAGGAACACAAGUAGCAGGUGAUGAGGAUUGGUGCAUGAAUGUAAUGCUGAACAUUUAGAAAAGGGAAAAAACUUGGUGGAGUCCUUAAAAUACCGCCUGCUAAUAUCUAAAACAUCCGUAAGCUUCUCACCCCCUACACACAACCGCAUGCAAAAAUGUAGAACAUGUGAUCUUUACACAACAUGCAAGACCGACAAACCUAAAAAAAGCAGAAAAGAUAAAGC
rnacentral:lncRNA from 1 species